rnacentral:tRNA from 1 species
UUGAAGCCAUGCGCGAACGCCAGCGACGCGCCCUGCUUGAUGUGCGGGGCGACGUUCUGGUUGUAGACCUCGGCGAUCUGCUCGUCGGGCAGCAGA